rnacentral:lncRNA from 1 species
AAAAAAAGAAAUGAAGGUAAAGGGAGACGUAGAGGAGAUGCAGGGGAGGUUCUCCGUCGCAUGCCUCAAUCGAUCCGACAUUUAAACAACCUCCGAUCGUGAUGAAAUUUCACACGGUGAUAGUCUUCAACGUGGUGAACACUUCUACGGAGUCGGAUUUUUUUAUCUCACGGUUGGAUUUUACUGUAUAGGUAGGGGUGUGUUUUUCCUAAAUUUCUUUCUCGACUUUUUUUGGGCUUUUCGUUUUGCUUUUAUUUACUUCAAAAAACUCCAUGGAAAUGGGUGAGUUGUUGGGUUGUAGUAGAUUAUCAUAUAAUUUUUAUUUAGGUUGUUUUUGGAAACCCUAAACGUGUAAAAUGAUUUGGUUUUGCUUUGAAAAUGUUAAAUGGGAAGUGAAUGAAAGUUUAAUGCAAAAUAAAAAUAUUAGAAUUGUUAGUAUUUAAUUGUUGUUCCUGUGAUAACAUUUACCGGAUUGUUGUGGUUGUGAAAAUUCUUUUUAUUGGAAUAUUGGUUAAUAUAUUUUUGUGAUUGUUGUUAUGUUUGAAAUUAUAUAAAUUAUUGGUGAUAUAUUAGUGUUGAAAAUAAUGGAAAAUAUUUAUUGAAAAAUUUGAGUAUUGAGAUAUGUUUAAAAUGAUUGUUUUAAAAUUAUUAAUAUUAUUAGAAAUAAAUAAAUUGAUGAUAUAAAUUGAUUUUUUUGUUAAUAUUUGAAUUAUUGGAAAAAUAUUUCCCAAAUGUUGUGGUGGCGUAAUUGUGGAAAAUUUUUGUAUGGGCGUUAAUAUUAUUGAGAUUAUUGGAGAUAAAUAAAUUAUGACAUAAAUUGUGUUUUUGUUGAUAUUUGUAUUAGUGAGAAUUUUCUUGGAUAUGUGUGGUUAUGUAAUUGAAGAAAAAAAAUGGUUAUGUUGGUUGUUGGAAAUUAUUAAGCAUGUCGGGAAUAAAUAGAAUUUAUGUGGCUACGAUUUAAAACUAUGUUUUGAUGCUAUACAAUUAAUUGUGAAUUUUCUUUGAUAUUUGUGAUAAUUAAAGUGAAGAAAAAUCGUUGUGUGGAUUAUUGGAAAUUAUGAGAUAUAAUGGGAGUAAAUAGAAUUAUGUCUUGGAAAAUUAUGAAUGUUGAAAUAUGAUUUUAUUACACUUCAUAUGCAUCAUGGUUGUGUAAAGAAAAAAAAUUUAAAGAAAUGGUUAUGUGAAGUGGAAUUAGAAUGAAAAGACCCCGAAGAGGGCAAAAAUGAAAAGAAAAAAAAGAAAAAAGAAAUGAAAUGACCCUAGAGAGGGCGAAUUAAGAAGGGAGUGAGAUUCCUAAGGUGAAAGACCCAAAAGUUUACCUCAGGAAGACUCCGAAUGGGGAGUGUAUUUGGGUGCGGAUGCGUAUCAUUCGAUGAAAGCCCAAGAAUGAUAGUGCAUUGUGUAAUUGCAUGUAAGCAUUUGCAUCAUGGUUGCAUUUGGAAGAAGGAUUUGUAUUAUUUAUCAAGUGCAUGUUUGAAUAUAUUACUCAAGACUAAAAUGACUUGUUUAUUUUGGAAAUUUAGAAUUGAUAUGCUAGACAUAUGAUUGAAUAAGGAAAAUGAUAAUUUUGAUUGGUUUAAAUUUAUAUGGUUGAGGUUUCUUUUAGUGUGUAUAUUGUAAAUGUAAUAUUAUAUUUUGGCAUAUGGUUGUGUUAUUGACCUAGAAUUUCUAACCUAUUUGGGUGUAAAACACCUUAUUGAGCAACGUGAAAAUGCUCACCCCUUUAUUUUCUAAAAUUUUUAGAUGCAUAUAUAGUUUUUGAGGGGACCACAGGAAGAUCAGGAAGUGUUCUAGAAAGCAAAAGAAUCAUAAUAAUGGUUGUUUUUAAAUUUAUAUUACCCUUUUGAAAUGUACUAAUUAAGUUAUAUGGGAUUUUGUUAGUCUUUAAAACAUUUUUGGAAAUAUUCUUUUUGGACUUAGAGAUUAUUGUAAAUAUUUGAGCUUUUGGGUAGGAAGAUGAUUGGUGGUUUUAUUAAAAUUGUGAUCAGGAGAUAGUGUGAUGGUUGGUUUUGGAAAAAAAUAAAAUAAUAUGUUACAGUAAAUCUUAGCUUAAUAAAUUUAUUUAAGAUUAAAUGCUUUAAUGAAAAAGAAAAAAAAAUUCAGGGUGUUUUGAUUGAUUGCCAGCGUAGAUAGGAGUAAUCUUUAGAGUCAAACCUUUGACCUGAGGUCACAAGUCGAGUUCUGGGUUACCCAGAAUUUGGGGCGUAACACAUAUAUAUAUAAUGAUCGUGUAUUAGUGCAUGAAUUCUGUGGAGAAACAAGUUGCAAACGUGCUACUCCAUUUUGCCACAUUGAUGUUGUGUUGAUGCUUGAUUAAUUUCAGCCACUUUAGUGCGUGUUUUCAUGACUGUGAGGAGAAAAGCAACAAGCACAUGAUCACACCAUCAUAUUUUAAGACCACCAAGUUGCCACUAUGAACACACACACAUCAACCACACUUCCACUCUCAUCACACACAACUCAACAUGCUUCACUCACAUUUAGCACGCACUACUUUGUUUCUAUAGGAAAUUUUUUUCUUCUUUUGGUUGUGUGAUUUUAUGUGAGUAUUUGUGUUUGUUAGUGAUUAAAAAUGCUUAUCAAUCUACCUUUCUAAAAAUUAAUUCUCAAAUUUUCAAAUUCAUCUUGGACAUUGUUAGGUUAUGAAAAUUCAAUUUUCCAAAAAUUCUUGCAACUAAUUUUAUUCGGUAUGUGUAUUUGAAAAAAGUUUUAAAAUAAAUUUUGGUUUUGAAUAUACAUGAAUUAAAUUUCAUAGCUCCAAUCAAUGGAGUCUUUAUAGAUAAAUUUAUGAAAAUUAAAAUGGGAUUUAAUAGAUCCCUACACACAAAGUUUCUUUUUUUUUUUUCAACACAUAGUUUUUCAUUGAAAUCGUGGAUAAUUCACUAUACUUCUGUAUUCGUAAAUUGGAAUCUGACAACUUAGAAACCAUUUAAAAUUUUUCUAACUAUUCCAUGACAUUCCAGACUCCUUGAACUUGAUUAUAGAAUCUCUCUUAGAUCAAAUAUGGUUUUUAAUUAGGAGAUAUAAAUCAAUCUUUCAGAAGGUUCAGUUUUCACUUUGUUUUUGGCACUCAGUUUUGUUUUGCAAAACUAAAUUACUAAACGAUCUCUUUAAUCUCUUUGAAUAUUUUUAUCUUAAUCUAUGCUUCUUAAAUUUAAUUUUUGAUACAUAAAAUAUUAAAAAAAAUUCUUUAUGGAGGGAGAUGUGAUUUUUCAAAUUCGCACCUACUGCACAUGACCGAAUAUGGACAACUGAUCAAUUAUGGUGUUUUAAAAAUGAUUUUGAAUUCUUUCUGACCAUGGGUUUAUUUUUAUUACAAUCUAGGCAUCUUAAAUGCCUUCUAGAUUUUUUCUUAUGAAUUUAGAAGGUUUCUAGGUAUUUUUUUAAAUUUGAGUUUACAUUAAUGACUGUUUUCUGCCUACUUCUGGACCUUUUGGAACUUUUGGAUAUUUGGAAUUGAAUAUGUUGUUUAAUUGAAUUCUUGGACUUUUGUAUGCUAUUAUGGACAUCGACGAGAAGUCUUCUGUGAUUUAGUAUGAUCAAAUUCCAUUUUUAUGCAUUUGCUUGGGAUUUAUUCUUAAAGAUGCCUUAUCCUUAUUGUAUACUGGAAGUUUUGCAUUGUGCCUACUUUGAUGUUUAAGACUAAACUAUUUGACAUAUCAUGAAUUUUCGUUGGUUGUUGUAUUGUGACAUAAACAUAAUAUAGAGGUUUGUCCUAAUUUUUCAUGAUCAAAUGAUGUUCCUAGGUAUUAAUCUAUAAUUUUUCUUUUGGUAAUAGUGUGUUACCCUUCUUGCUACAUGUUUUAAUCAUAACCCUUGAUUCUUGGAGUUGUAUAUAUGACUUGUGUGAAUAUUGAUGACUCUAUAUAAUCUAAUCAUUUUUUCUAUGCUAUUUAGAUACCAAGCAUGCUAGGAUUUCUUUCUUUUAUUAUUUAUUACUAUAAUUUUGAUCUAACCUUCCAUGUUUUGUGAAA